GAUGAAGAACGUAGCGAAAUGCGAUACGUAAUGUGAAUUGCAGAAUUCAGUGAAUCAUCGAGUCUUUGAACGCACAUUGCGCCCCCUGGUAUUCCGGGGGGCAUGCCUGUCCGAGCGUCAUUGCUGCCCUCAAGCCCGGCUUGUGUGUUGGGUCUCGUCCCCCUUCCCGGGGGGACGGGCCCGAAAGGCAGCGGCGGCACCGCGUCCGGUCCUCGAGCGUAUGGGGCUUUGUCACCCGCUCUGUAGGCCCGGCCGGCGCUUGCCGAUCAACCAAAACUUUUUUCCAGGUUGACCUCGGAUCAGGUAGGGAUACCCGCUGAACUUAAGAAUAUCAAUAAGCGGAGGA
rnacentral:misc_RNA from 1 species